rnacentral:lncRNA from 1 species
CCUGUGAUGACUUUUCCAUCAACAGGAAAACCCAUAAUAAUCAACAUGUCAUCGAGGGUGGGGACUAAAAACCUUCUUGGGCAUCGUAACACCUCAAGACAGCCUCCAAAAGAUCAAGAUUUGGAUGAUAUAAUUUGUUGAGCCUGGCGAUGUUCUCGAAGCCUGUACCUUCGAGUCUCGUAGUAACACGCACGUCAGACACCCAAUUCUUGAGUUUAUCAAGAUGAGUUGUGAAUUUAACCUGCAAUAUUUCAAAUUAAAACAAAAAAAAAUUAUGAGUAUUAAGGAUUUAGAGUAAUAUUAAUUUUCUUAACCAGAACAUAAGUGCAAAUUAUUUUUAUUCCCAAGUGUAAAACAGUACUUUGUGUAAAUCACCCACUAACAUUCACACUUAUACAAGUAUAGAUAUAAAAUUUCCAAAUUUGACCAAAAAGAUAAAAGUAUACGGGUAACAUUUCAACAAAAAGUUAAAAAAAAGAGAGAAAUAAAUGAAGAAAUGAUUACGAUACCAUGCUUCCUGGAUACUAGAAGAGAUGAGAGAGCUUCAGAAAAAGAUCCGGUUAUCUAUAUGGUUAUCUAUAUAUGUAUAUAUGUGAGCGAUGUGCUUGAUUUAAGUACUUCCACUGCGGAACCGAGGGGACGGAGGGGGUCCUGGUAUAUAUAUUUGUACUAGUAAGCUUAUAUUGGAAAAUAUGUGCGAGUAAGAGAGAGAGAUUAAUACCGAAGAGUAACUGUGAAAAGUGACAGCUAGAGAGAGAAAGAGAACCAUUGGGUUGUUUUUAGAGAGAGAUAGGAAGAGACGAGGAAGAGGUUGCUGGGCGGGUGAUAGAUUAAGAAUUUUGACAAAUAUAGGAAGUUGAAUGGCAAUAGACAUGGAAGUGACUCAUUUCUCAAUAAU